UUCACUAUCGUCAUAUAUGCUCCUCCUUAUCCCAAUCCAAUGAUCAUCUUUAUACAACAAACGUAAUCCAUACUCCUUCAUUUCUCCAGAGAAAGAUAACCUAAUAAGCCCAUAGUCAUUUGGUGUUUUACCAUUUGCCUUUGAUGUAUCCCAUAAGCCAGCAAAAGGUACCAAGAAAAAAUGAAUAGCAGAU